GAUGAACGCUGGCGGCGUGCUUAACACAUGCAAGUCGAACGAAGAUGCCGGAGUGCUUGCACUUUGGCAGACUGAGUGGCGGGACGGGUGAGUAACGCGUGGGUAACCUGCCUUAUACGAGGGGGAUAACAGUUGGAAACGACUGCUAAUACCGCAUAAGCGCACGGUAUCGCAUGAUACAGUGUGAAAAGGAUUUAUUCGCUUUAGGAUGGACUCGCGUCCAAUUAGCUAGUUGGUGAGGUAACGGCCACCAAGGCGACGAUUGGUAGCCGGACUGAGAGGUUGAACGGCCACAUUGGGACUGAGACACGGCCCAGACUCCUACGGGAGGCAGCAGUGGGGGAUAUUGCACAAUGGGGAAACCCUGAUGCAGCGACGCCGCGGUGGAGGAAGAAGGUUUUCGGAUUGUAAACUCCUGUCGUUAGGACGAUAAUGACGGUACCUAACAAGAAAGCACCGGCUAACUACGUG
rnacentral:rRNA from 1 species